UGAAUUUCUCCAACGACUGGCUCAGUCAUGUGCCUGAUGGUUGUUGCUGGCCGCCAGUUAUUUUCAACAUGGAUGCUUUCGGUUCCUCAUAUGAAGAACUUCCCCCUGCUACAAGGUCUGAGAUGGCCAUGAACUUCGAGGGCAGAUUAUAUUGAAGACUACUUUUGUCUCCCAUAAUGCCUGAAUAGAUCUGCCAUCUUCAUUUCCAAAAUGAGAUUCCAAGUCUCUUGACAUAGAAAAGAUCUCUGAAGACCAAAGGAAGCAACACCAGAACACCUGCUGCCAUGACCUCAUGGGCCUAUUAAUGGCAUCCACCAUCUCAGGAGACUCCUGCCCCGAAUUUUGCUCUUAAAAACCCUCACUUGCUAGCCAUUUAGGAGUUCAGGGCUAUUUGAGCAUUAGCUCCUUAUUUUCCCUGGGUGGCCCACACCAAUGAACAACCUACCUUUCUGCACUGCAAAAGCUCGAUGUCAGUGUUUAUUGACUUGCUGCACCUCAGGUGGAUGAAGUCUUAUCUGUUUUGGUUACAAGUGACCAAUGAUGAAUCAGAUGUUGAAAAUAGCAAUAACUCCAGAAUGGCUAGUAUAACUAUGUCUAAUGAUGUACACGAAAAUAUAAGCAUUGUUUUAAUCUUUUGAA